CUCUUUCUGUCUCUCUGUCUCCCCGCACCCCUCUCUCUCUUUCUCAGACCUGUGCCCUCAGUAGGGAGAUGAUGCCUGGGGCUGCUCCCCUGGACUCUGCCCCAGGCCCCAGGCUCCUCUGUGGUGUUGUCCUGUGUCUCCUGGGAGCAGGUGUGGUGCAUGCUGGGGUCCUCCAGUCCCCCAGACACCUGAUCAAAGCCAAGGGAGGAAAGGCCACUCUGCAGUGCUCUCCUGACUCUGGACAUGAUGCUGUGUACUGGUACCAGCAGGCCGAGGACCAGAGCCUCCAGUUCCUCAUUUCCUAUUAUCGAGAGUCAGAGAGAGAGAAAGGAAGCAUCCCUGGCCACUUCUCAGCUCGGCAGUUCAGUGACUAUCACUCUGAGCUGAACAUGAGCGCCUUGGAGCUGAGGGACUCCGCGCUGUAUCUGUGUGCCAGCAGCUUGCACAGCCCUGCACAGGGACUGGCUUUCUCUACCCAAACCUUCCUGCCCCAGCUGAGGAUGUCAUUGGGGGGGUGGUGA